GGGCGAAUGGUCUAGAGGUAUGAUAUUCGCUUUGCAUAUCCGAUAUGUCUGCGAAGGGUCCGGGGUUCAAUUCCCCGUUCGUCCA